rnacentral:lncRNA from 1 species
AGAGGCCACACCAUCCUAGCAGUGGAGCAGGACCAGCUGGGACAGGGUCCUUCUGUGACACCUGCUGCAUCACCAGGCUGGGUGAACGGACACAAUUGCCAGAACUCACAGAAUAGAAGUAUCAGCACCGAAACCUCACAGGAAAAAUGGAUAUGAAGCUGUCAACUCAUUUUGAAAACUGCUGGCUCAGAUGACCUCAGCGAUAGGAAACCUCUAAAAGAUCAUGAAUCUAAUCAGAAACCAUGGUGGCUAUCCACGAUGGAGAGAGAGCAGCGGAGACAAAAAGUGAUUUGAUGGCCUCGCAUCCGUGAGAAGGAGCAUCAUCUGUGGACCUUCCUGGGGGUGAGGGGCAGAGAAGUGAGGCAGGCAUCAGAAAACAGGAGGGUCGAUUAAAAUCUGUACAUUGACAGUCAACCCUCAUUAUCCUCCCUCACCGAUGCCAGCACCCCACCCCUCGGGUAACCAGUGAGUAGAACACCAACAACCAACAAGCAAGCAGCUGCCUUCCAGAGAGGAGAGGAGAAGGUUUUCUCCAGAGGAAGGAAACCAUCCAGACCAAAGGCAUCACUUACUAACAUGCGGAAACCCCAUCGACUCCCCGAAGCAAAACCUCUAGACGAGCCUUUCACUAAUGAUAACACACUCAUUCUCCUUCACGUGUUACUAUUAAAUGUGAACAGUGAAGAAUCACCA